UACGUAGGGUGCAAGCGUUAAUCGGAAUUAUUGGGCGUAAAGGGUGCGUAGGCGGUUUGGUAAGUCUUGUGUGAAAUCAUCCAGGCUCAACUUGGAGUCUGCACGAGAAACUGCCGGGCUUGAGUGUGGGAGAGGUGAGUGGAAUUCCUGGUGUAGCGGUGAAAUGCGUAGAUAUCAGGAGGAACACCUGUGGCGAAAGCGGCUCACUGGACCACAACUGACGCUGAUGCACGAAAGCUAGGGGAGCAAACAGG
rnacentral:rRNA from 1 species